UUAAAAUGUAAUCGUUUAUAUUAGAGUAGUAAUAGUUAUGUUCUUGAAACUUAAAAAAUUUGGCGGUAUUUUAGUCUAAUCAGAGGAACCUGUUCCGUAAUCGAUAAUCCACGUUGGACCUUACUUAAGUUUGUUUAGUUUAUAUACCGUCGUUAUGAAAAACUUUUUUAGAAGAAUAGUUUUUAAUAAUUAGAAUUAUAAUAUAUAUCAGAUCAAGGUGUAGCUUAUACUUAAGUGGAAAUGGGUUACAAUAAAAUUAUUUAUAUGGAUUUUUCAUUGAAAGUGAAAAUGAAAGUGGAUUUGAAAGUAAAUUUUUAUAGAUAGAAAAAUUGAAAUUAGCUCUAAAGUAUGUAC
rnacentral:rRNA from 1 species